CCUACGGGGGGCUGCAGUGGGGAAUAUUGGACAAUGGGGGUAACCCUGAUCCAGCCAUGCCGCGUGUGUGAAGAAGGCCCUCGGGUUGUAAAGCACUUUCAGUGAGGAAGAACGCCUGGUGGUUAAUACCCAUCAGGAAAGACAUCACUCACAGAAGAAGCACCGGCUAACUCCGUGCCAGCAGCCGCGGUAAUACGGAGGGUGCGAGCGUUAAUCGGAAUUACUGGGCGUAAAGCGCGCGUAGGUGGCUUGAUAAGCCGGUUGUGAAAGCCCCGGGCUCAACCUGGGAACGGCAUCCGGAACUGUCAAGCUAGAGUGCAGGAGAGGAAGGUAGAAUUCCCGGUGUAGCGGUGAAAUGCGUAGAGAUCGGGAGGAAUACCAGUGGCGAAGGCGGCCUUCUGGACUGACACUGACACUGAGGUGCGAAAGCGUGGGUAGCAAACAGGAUUAGAUACCCUAGUAGUC
rnacentral:rRNA from 1 species